rnacentral:rRNA from 1 species
AGAGUUUGAUCAUGGCUCAGAUUGAACGCUGGCGGCAUGCCUUACACAUGCAAGUCGAACGGCAGCAUGAUCUAGCUUGCUAGAUUGAUGGCGAGUGGCGAACGGGUGAGUAAUACAUCGGAACGUGCCCUGUAGUGGGGGAUAACUAGUCGAAAGAUUAGCUAAUACCGCAUACGACCUGAGGGUGAAAGUGGGGGACCGCAAGGCCUCAUGCUAUAGGAGCGGCCGAUGUCUGAUUAGCUAGUUGGUGAGGUAAAGGCUCACCAAGGCGACGAUCAGUAGCUGGUCUGAGAGGACGAUCAGCCACACUGGGACUGAGACACGGCCCAGACUCCUACGGGAGGCAGCAGUGGGGAAUUUUGGACAAUGGGCGAAAGCCUGAUCCAGCAAUGCCGCGUGUGUGAAGAAGGCCUUCGGGUUGUAAAGCACUUUUGUCCGGAAAGAAAUGGCUCUGGUUAAUACCUGGGGUCGAUGACGGUACCGGAAGAAUAAGGACCGGCUAACUACGUGCCAGCAGCCGCGGUAAUACGUAGGGUCCAAGCGUUAAUCGGAAUUACUGGGCGUAAAGCGUGCGCAGGCGGUUGUGCAAGACCGAUGUGAAAUCCCCGAGCUUAACUUGGGAAUUGCAUUGGUGACUGCACGGCUAGAGUGUGUCAGAGGGGGGUAGAAUUCCACGUGUAGCAGUGAAAUGCGUAGAAAUGUGGAGGAAUACCGAUGGCGAAGGCAGCCCCCUGGAUAACACUGACGCUCAUGCACGAAAGCGUGGGGA